rnacentral:rRNA from 1 species
UGGGGAAUAUUGGACAAUGGGCGAAAGCCUGAUCCAGCCAUGCCGCGUGUGUGAAGAAGGCCUUAUGGUUGUAAAGCACUUUAAGCGAGGAGGAGGGUACUGGUAUUAAUACUACCAGGUACUGGACGUUACUCGCAGAAUAAGCACCGGCUAACUCUGUGCCAGCAGCCGCGGUAAUACAGAGGGUGCGAGCGUUAAUCGGAUUUACUGGGCGUAAAGCGUGCGUAGGCGGCUAAUUGAGUCGGAUGUGAAAUCCCCGAGCUUAACAUGGGAAUUGCAUUCGAUACUGGUUAGCUAGAGUGUGGGAGAGGAUGGUAGAAUUCCAGGUGUAGCGGUGAAAUGCGUAGAGAUCUGGAGGAAUACCGAUGGCGAAGGCAGCCAUCUGGCCUAACACUGACGCUGAGGUACGAAAGCAUGAGGAGCAAACAGG